rnacentral:rRNA from 1 species
GAUGAACGCUGGCGGCGUGCCUAAUACAUGCAAGUCGAGCGAACAGACGAGGAGCUUGCUCCUCUGACGUUAGCGGCGGACGGGUGAGUAACACGUGGAUAACCUACCUAUAAGACUGGGAUAACUUCGGGAAACCGGAGCUAAUCCCGGAUAAUAUAUUGAACCGCAUGGUUCAAUAGUGAAAGACGGUUUUGCUGUCACUUCUAGAUGGAUCCGCGCCGCAUUAGCUAGUUGGUAAGGUAACGGCUUACCAAGGCAACGAUGCGUAGCCGACCUGAGAGGGGGAUCGGCCACACUGGAACUGAGACACGGUCCAGACUCCUACGGGAGGCAGCAGUAGGGAAUCUUCCGCAAUGGGCGAAAGCCUGACGGAGCAACGCCGCGUGAGUGAUGAAGGUCUUCGGAUCGUAAAACUCUGUUAUUAGGGAAGAACAAAUGUGUAAGUAACUAUGCACGUCUUGACGGUACCUAAUCAGAAAGCAACGGCUAACUACGUG